rnacentral:rRNA from 1 species
AAGAUUCAUCGGCUGAGGAUGGGCCCGCGGCCUAUCAGCUUGUUGGUGGGGUAGUGGCCCACCAAGGCGACGACGGGUAGCCGGCCUGAGAGGGUGACCGGCCACACUGGGACUGAGACACGGCCCAGACUCCUACGGGAGGCAGCAGUGGGGAAUAUUGCGCAAUGGGCGGAAGCCUGACGCAGCGACGCCGCGUGAGGGAUGACGGCCUUCGGGUUGUAAACCUCUUUCAGUAGGGACGAAGCGAAAGUGACGGUACCUACAGAAGAAGCACCGGCCAACUACGUGCCAGCAGCCGCGGUAAUACGUAGGGUGCAAGCGUUGUCCGGAAUUAUUGGGCGUAAAGAGCUCGUAGGCGGUCUGUCGCGUCGGCUGUGAAAACCCGAGGCUCAACCUCGGGCCUGCAGUCGAUACGGGCAAACUAGAGUACUGCAGGGGAGACUGGAAUUCCUGGUGUAGCGGUGAAAUGCGCAGAUAUCAGGAGGAACACCGGUGGCGAAGGCGGGUCUCUGGGCAGUAACUGACGCUGAGGAGCGAAAGCGUGGGGAGCGAACAGGAUUAGAUACCCUGGUAGUCCACGCCGUAAACGUUGGGCGCUAGGUGUGGGGGCCAUUCCACGGUCUCCGUGCCGCAGCUAACGCAUUAAGCGCCCCGCCUGGGGAGUACGGCCGCAAGGCUAAAACUCAAAGGAAUUGACGGGGGCCCGCACAAGCGGCGGAGCAUGUUGCUUAAUUCGAUGCAACGCGAAGAACCUUACCUAGGCUUGACAUGCACGGAAAUCUCGUAGAGAUACGGGGUGCCUUUGGCGUCGUGCACAGGUGGUGCAUGGUUGUCGUCAGCUCGUGUCGUGAGAUGUUGGGUUAAGUCCCGCAACGAGCGCAACCCUCGUUCUAUGUUGCCAGCACGUGAUGGUGGGGACUCAUAGGAGACUGCCGGGGUCAACUCGGAGGAAGGUGGGGAUGACGUCAAAUCAUCAUGCCCCUUAUGUCUAGGGCUGCAAACAUGCUACAAUGGCCGGUACAAAGGGCUGCGAUACCGCGAGGUGGAGCGAAUCCCAAAAAGCCGGUCUCAGUUCGGAUUGGGGUCUGCAACUCGACCCCAUGAAGUUGGAGUCGCUAGUAAUCGCAGAUCAGCAACGCUGCGGUGAAUACGUUCCCGGGCCUUGUACACACCGCCCGUCACGUCACGAAAGUCGGUAACGCCCGAAGCCGGUGGCCCAACCCUUGUGG